rnacentral:rRNA from 1 species
CCCCCCAAACCGAAGCCUCCAUCCAACACGUCCCCGUCCCUCACCGGCAGCGGCAAGCCUCCACCGAGUCCGUCAUCGUCCAUCACCGGCAAGCAUCUUGCAAGUCCAUCCUCAUCACCAUCCGUCGUCGGCAAGAACACAAAGAUUGGCAUGUCCACACCACCAACAGAUAAUGGUGGCCAAAAUGUAGUUGCAUAUUCAGGGACAGGAAGUGUACCUCAAAUGGAUGCAAUGGAGGAGGAGGAGGAUGACUUCGACGAGUCCAUUGAUUACCAUGAGUUUGCAGAUCCUAUUUUUAUUUCAGAUGAAGAAGAAGAUGGUGAUGGAGGGGAUGAAGAGGAAGAUGAUGCUGAAGAGGAGGAAAAUGUGGAAGUUGCAUCUAAAAGAAAACUCACUUCAGUUGUGUGGGCUGAGUUCAAGAGAGUGAAGGUUGCAGGAAAAUGGAAGGCUAAGUGUGUUUAUUGCAAUAAGGAGCUUGGAGGAGCACCAAAGAAUGGGACCAAACAUCUUCAUUACCACUUAGGCAUUUGUGUUUUGAGAAAGAUCAAG